rnacentral:lncRNA from 1 species
UCAGAAACACCAAAACCUUUCUGCCUGACGGUAUCCAUCUGUCCUCAGAAUUGAGCUUGGACCACUCCAUGUUCUCAGAAACCAAAGAUUUGCACAUGUGGAAUCCAGAGGAAGGUCAGGCUACACAACCUUGGCAAAGAAAGAGAGUGGUAAGACGUAAUUUUCUACCCUGUUUUGUUGCUUGAAAGGACUAAAUAAAUUCUUAAGAAUUAAAAGUCAUCAAAAAAGCUGGUGAGGAUGUGGAGCAAUAGAAACUCUCAUUCAUUGAGAUGCAAAAUGGUGUAGCCACUCUGGACAACAGUUUGGCAGUUUCUUAUAAAACUAAACAUAUUCUUACCAUAAGAUCCAG